AAGACUAUACUUUCAAGGAUCAUUUCUACAAUUUGUUACUAGAGAAGUUUCUAUGAAUGUGUAGAGAGCACCAGAAACUACCAGGAGGAGGCGCAGCAUCUCUCCAGACUGUGAAGCUGGUUUUUAGUGUUUGCUUCUGCAAUGCCAUUCACCAUUGAUAUUGGUUAUUUCUUCUCUUCCUUCGGGGGAGCAAGAGAGGGAGGAUGCAGAUGAGGA
rnacentral:snoRNA from 1 species